rnacentral:misc_RNA from 1 species
GCAAUAUUGCAAUUGAUGAAUUAGUAAUAGCUUAUAAAUAAGAUAUGACCUUUGUAUUUGCAAUUCAAACUCUUAUUUGUGUUGUUUCUUAUCAACUGUAUUUUUUUGGGGCAGGGGGAAGGAAAAAAUUUUCAAUUGAACUGUUUAGGCAUGAUCUUCCUUGCUUCAUGAUGAAACAACAUACAUUAUAGCUUGCUAUUGUCAAGAUGAGCAUUUGAUUGUAGGACCUAUAGGAGAUAGAAAACCACAGAAUGAGAGAGAG